AUAGAGAGCCCAGGACUUACCUGCCAGGUGAGCAGGUGUGGGUUGCAGGGUCAUAGGAUCUGUUACUGCUAUGCUUGCAGAUAACCCAUCACCUGUCCCAAGGACAAUCAUAAGCAUCCCUGCUAAGUAAGUCAUCCAUAAACCCAGCUUGGGAAAGAAGAAGGUUUGAAAAUAUACAUAGCCCAAAGACUACAGUCAAAUAUGCAAUUCCUUACUCAGCUCCUCAAGAGAACAAAUGCCAACUGACCUGCUGGAGUGACUUUCAGGGGAAGCGCAGCAGGCUCUGUGGUGGACACAGGUGUCAAU